UACGUAGGGUGCGAGCGUUGUCCGGAAUUACUGGGCGUAAAGGGCGCGUAGGCGGUCUUGUAAGUCUUGUGUGAAAUCCCUUGGCUUAACUGAGGAACUGCACGAGAUACUGCAAGACUUGAGAUCGGGAGAGGGAAGCGGAAUUCCGGGUGUAGCGGUGAAAUGCGUAGAUAUCAGGAGGAACACCUGUGGUGUAGACAGCUUACUGGACCACUUCUGACGCUGAGACACGAAAGCGUGGGUAGCAAACAGG
rnacentral:rRNA from 1 species